CUACGGGAUGCACCAGUGGGGAAUAUUGAAAAAGGGGCGCCCUCCUUCUUCAGCGAGGCAGCGGGGGGUAAGAAGGCCUUCGGGUUGUAAAGUACUUUCAGCGGGGAGGAAUUUCUUCCCUUUCCUCCCAGGGAGAGGGGAAGGUAAGGGAAGAAGAGGAAGCGGCUAACUCCGUGCCAGCAGCCGCGGUAAUACGGAGGGUGCAAGCGUUAAUCGGAAUUACUGGGCGUAAAGCGCACGCAGGCGGUUUGUUAAGUCAGAUGUGAAAUCCCCGGGCUCAACCUGGGAACUGCAUCUGAUACUGACAAGCUUGAGUCUCGUAGAGGGGGGUAGAAUUCCAGGUGUAGCGGUGAAAUGCGUAGAGAUCUGGAGGAAUACCGGUGGCGAAGGCGGCCCCCUGGACGAAGACUGACGCUCAGGUGCGAAAGCGUGGGGAGCAAACAGGAUUAGAUACCCCAGUAGUC
rnacentral:rRNA from 1 species